rnacentral:rRNA from 1 species
CAUGCCGCGUGUGUGAAGAAGGCCCUCGGGUUGUAAAGCACUUUCAGUGAGGAAGAACGCCUGAUGGUUAAUACCCGUCAGGAAAGACAUCACUCACAGAAGAAGCACCGGCUAACUCCGUGCCAGCAGCCGCGGUAAUACGGAGGGUGCAAGCGUUAAUCGGAAUUACUGGGCGUAAAGCGCGCGUAGGUGGCUUGAUAAGCCGGUUGUGAAAGCCCCGGGCUCAACCUGGGAACGGCAUCCGGAACUGUCAAGCUAGAGUGCAGGAGAGGAAGGUAGAAUUCCCGGUGUAGCGGUGAAAUGCGUAGAGAUCGGGAGGAAUACCAGUGGCGAAGGCGGCCUUCUGGACUGACACUGACACUGAGGUGCGAAAGCGUGGGUAGCAAACAGGAUUAGAUACCCUGGUAGUCCACGCCGUAAACGAUGUCGACCAGCCGUUGGGUGCCUAGCGCACUUUGUGGCGAAGUUAACGCGAUAAGUCGACCGCCUGGGGAGUACGGCCGCAAGGUUAAAACUCA